CCUACGGGAGGCAGCAGUGGGGAAUAUUGCACAAUGGGGGAAACCCUGAUGCAGCGACGCCGCGUGAGUGAAGAAGUAUUUCGGUAUGUAAAGCUCUAUCAGCAGGGAAGAAAAUGACGGUACCUGAUUCAGAAGCCCCGGCUAACUACGUGCCAGCAGCCGCGGUAAUACGUAGGGGGCAAGCGUUAUCCGGAUUUACUGGGUGUAAAGGGAGCGUAGACGGCAGCACAAGUCUGGAGUGAAAUGCCGGGGCUUAACCCCGGAACUGCAUUGGAAACUGUGCAGCUAGAGUGCAGGAGAGGUAAGUGGAAUUCCUAGUGUAGCGGUGAAAUGCGUAGAUAUUAGGAGGAACACCGGUGGCGAAGGCGGCUUACUGGAGUGUAACUGACGUUGAGGCUCGAAGGCGUGGGGAGCAAACAGGAUUAGAUACCCGUGUAGUC
rnacentral:rRNA from 1 species